UGAAAAAAAUGUAUUAUCCUAACAAACCAUAUCAAUGGAAACCUUAUUUAUUCAGCUUUCAGAUGAUGUAUAAAUCUCAAUUUCAAAGAAUUGAACCUUAUGACUUUAGUUGGAAACUCCUGCUGUGCAUUUCUUUGCUAUUAUUGGUGAGUCAUAGGAAACUAGUGAGCAGAUUUAACAUUUUAUAGAUAUGUGCGUAAUGAUUGUAUUAAUCACACAACAGAUAUUUGGAAGAUAUUUUGAUGUCAAACUACAGUUUCGAGUGUUAGACCAGUGAUGACAUCAUCCAGCUGCGCAAUACCAAGCCAUAAAUUCAACUGCAUGAAUUGUUACCCUUUUCCACAGACAGUAGACUUUGCGUCAGGGCCACGCAGCAGAAGUGAUUGUUCUACAAAUGAAUACUGGAGUGACGGGCUCUGCUGUGACAAAUGUGCUCCAGGUACACAACAAUUUUUUUAGAGGAAUGGACUGUUUAAUCUCUGUCAUGUAUUUUUCUUCAGGGAUGAGAUGGGAUGAGUUGAUGAGAAAAUGUUCUAGUGGCAUGGCAUCUUAGUGUGAGAAAUGUUCGGAAGGGACAUACCUAGACAAGAUGGACUAAAUGCGGUGGUGAUUUCACCAUGGACACCCUAAAAUAACACCGUGUGUGGAUGUCAGUCUAGAUACCGCAAAAAGUUCUUUGAUAGCAUUUCAUGGGAGUGUGUGCCCUUUAAAAAGACUGUUUUUGUAUGACUGAAAACUAAAUAAGCAGGGAAGCCUUAGUUCUCCUCUGUAAUUAUGUGAAUGUUACCCUAAAGUAUUGAUAGAGAACACAGCUCUGCCUCCAGCAUGAACAAAUACCUCUGACAAAAACCAUGUAUUAUUAUGAGACUUGACUUGACACUGUAAAAUUCUAUUUAUGCAACAGUAAAAUAUAUUUUAUGCAGUAACUUUUUUAGCACCUGUCCAUGUUAAGGCUUUUACAUAAUAGUAAAUGAUGAAAAGGGGGAACAGCAUCAAGUUGGGAAACAAAAGGGUGCUACCAUCCUGAAUGCCCAAGCACUACACAUCUGUUGAUGUCAUUUGUCUACAACAUUCUUUGUCAGAUCUUAACGCAACAUUCAAUAGAUAUUUUCACAAAGAAUACAAAGAAUGCAUAAAUGCACUAUUUUUAGGAUGUCUGGACGUAGUAAUUAAUCCAGAUGAUGCGAUGCAUACUGUCAUUAUAAUUCUGAUUUAGUAAUUAUAUAGUAUUUUGGCAUUGUCAUGGUAACUAAACGUUGGUUUUAAAACAAAAGUCAAGCCCCAGUGGGUGGAGACCUAUGAUAACA